rnacentral:rRNA from 1 species
UACGUAGGGGGCAAGCGUUGUCCGGAAUCAUUGGGCGUAAAGCGCGUGUAGGCGGCCAAGUAGGUCAGCUGUGAAAACUUGAGGCUCAACCUCAAGCUGUCGGUUGAAACCACUUGGCUAGAGUCCGGAAGAGGAGAGUGGAAUUCCUGGUGUAGCGGUGAAAUGCGCAGAUAUCAGGAAGAACACCAAUGGCGAAGGCAAUCCCCUGGGCCUGUACUGACGCUCAUGCACGAAAGCGUGGGGAGCAAACAGG